rnacentral:lncRNA from 12 species
AUGGAUAGCAGCCAUGAGGAAAGAAGAAACUUUAUCAAGUUUCACUUCUUAAAUCUUCAAGUCUGUGCUUCAGAUGACUCCCAGUCAAGACCAAAAUGUAUAGAUUAUAUGCAGUGGAAGUUGGAGGUCAGGGGAUUGGCAUUUGAAGAAGAAGAAGAAGAAGGAGGAGGAGGACGAGGAGGAGGAGAAGGAGAAGAAGAAUGAGAAGGAGAAGAAGAAGAAAAAGAAAAAAGGAAGAAAGAUGACAGAAUUUGAGAGUUAUAAUUAAAAUGCCUUUUUUGGAUCCUGAAUUAUUACAAACCAAGGUCUAGGAAGAAAAACCCUUCCAAAUAAUUUUCAUAAAAAUAACCUCCCGAUGUAUUUCUGUCCCAUGCAUUCCAGUCUUUAAAUACCAAUGUUAAUGUUACCUUGUUACUUCACUGGAGAUUAAAUGAAUAUAACUUCUUGCACCUUUUGGGUUCAUAUCAAAUUAGAGUUUCUGUCUCAUUGUGUUUAUUUAUCUGCAAACACACAUCAAAGCAGACACUAUGUGCGUCUGUCUUAGCUAGUGGAGAACACAAGAACUUUUUUUUCAGAGUGUCAUUGAUACACUCAACCAUUUCCAUCUUUACUGACUCAUUUGUUGGGCCUAAGACUAUCACAUGGGAGUGUAUGGGCUAGCACACAUUAGUCCUAAAAAAGCUACAAGCAUUAAGAAAGGGUAAGCAUAACUUUUUUUUUCCUUUUUUUGUCUAUCAUGGUAACAUGCAUUGACUUGAUGCUCUGUGUAACAAAGACAAGGUGAGAUCCACACAGAUCCCAGGAACACGCUAUAAAAUUAUGAGCUGUCCCUGUUGAAAUGUUAGCAUGUUUCUUUUUUAAGUGUCAUUUAAGAUUCUAAAUAAAAAUAAGCAUCUAUUAAAUAAAUAUAUUUAC